rnacentral:pre_miRNA from 1 species
AGGAGCAACAGCCCCAGUGGCGGGGCCAGCUCUGGAGCCCUGGAGUCAGACCCCGCAGGAACCCCAGAGCUCUCCGUCUGCAGGGCCUGGAGGCUCCAGGGCGGG